rnacentral:rRNA from 1 species
UACGAAGGGGGCGAGCGUUGUUCGGAAUUACUGGGCGUAAAGGGCGCGCAGGCGGCUCUGAAAGUCAGAUGUGAAAGCCCCGGGCUUAACCUGGGAAUUGCAUUUGAUACUCUGGAGCUUGAGUGUGGGAGAGGAGAGUGGAAUUCCCAGUGUAGAGGUGAAAUUCGUAGAUAUCGGGAGGAACACCGGUGGCGAAGGCGGUUCUCUGGGCCUUACCUGACGCUGAGGAGCGAAAGCGUGGGGAGCGAACAGG